ensembl:lncRNA
UGAAGAGAAUGGAAGAGAGGAGGGGAGUAUGAAGAGACUGGAAGAGAGGAGGGGAGUAUGAAGAGACUGGAAGAGAGGAGGGGAGUAAUGAAGAGACUGGAAGAGAGGAGGGGAGUAUGAAGAGACUGGAAGAGAGGAGGGGAGUAUGAAGAGAAUGGAAGAGAGGAGGGGAGUAAUGAAGAGACUGGAAGAGAGGAGGGGAGUAAUGAAGAGACUGGAAGAGAGGAGGGGAGUAUGAAGAGAAUGGAAGAGAGGAGGGGAGUAAUGAAGAGAAUGGAAGAGAGGAGGGGAGUAUGAAGAGACUGGAAGAGAGGAGGGGAGUAUGAAGAGACUGGAAGAGAGGAGGAGAAGGAGAGAGAGGAAGAGAGGAGGGGAGUAUGAAGAGACUGGAAGAGAGGAGGGGAGUAUGAAGAGACGAAGAGAGUAGGGGAGUAUGAGGAGGCUGGAAGAGAGGAGGGGAGUAGGAAGAGACUGGAAGAGAGGAGGGGAGUAUGAAGAGACUGGAAGAGAGGAGGGGAGUAUGAAGAGACUGGAAGAAAGGAGGGGAGUAUGAAGAGACUGGAAGAAAGGAGGGGAGUAUGAAGAGACUGGAAGAGAGGAGGGGAGUAUGAAGAGGGAGACUGGAAGAGAGGAGGAGAGUAUGAAGAGGGAGACUGGAAGACAGGAGGGGAGUAUGAGGAGACUGGAAGAGAGGAGGGGAGUAUGAAGAGGCUGGAAGAGAGGAGGGGAGUAUGAAGAGACUGGAAGAGAGGAGGGGAGUAUGAAGAGACUGGAAGAGAGGAGGAGAGAGAGCGAGGAAGAGAGGAGGAGAAGGAGAGAGAGGAAGAGAGCAGGAGAAGGAGAGAGAGGAAGAGAGGAGAAGGAGAGAGAGGAAGAGAGGAGGAGAAGGAGAGAGAGGAAGAGAGGAGAAGGAAAGAGAGGAAGAGAGGAGGAGAAGGAGAGAGAGGAAGAGAGGAGGAGAAGGAGAGAGAGGAAGAGAGGAGGAGAAGGAGAGAGGAAGAGAGGAGGGGAAUAUGAAGAUACUGGAAGAGAGGAGAAGGAAAGAGAGGAAGAGAGGAGGAGAAGGAGAGAGAGGAAGAGAGGAGGGGAGUAUGGAGAGACUGGAAGAGAGGAGGAGAAAGAGAGAGAGGAAGAGAGGAGGAGAAGGAGAGAGGAAGAGAGGAGGGGAAUAUGAAGAUACUGGAAGAGAGGAGAAGGAAAGAGAG